CUCCAACACAACCACAAAACCCAUAGGUCUCCACAUCUCUAUUCUAUAUAAAUGCAUACAAAUGAGGUACACUCAUCAGUAAAUUAAAAGAGAGAAUCAAGAUGGCAUUUUCUAAAGUAUCUUUCAUGCUUGUCUUUCUCCUUCUCGUUCUUGUGUUUCCCCAUAUGGAUAAAGCCCUUGGUGAACAAAUGCAGCACCGCAAACUUAGUGAGACCCUUUUUGUCUCUAAAUAAAAAGAGACGGAACAUCCAGAUCAACUGGUGACAGUCCAAAGGCGCGUUCUUCGUUUUGGUUUUUUAAGGGGACGAUGGUGCAUAAAAAAUUGUAAAAAAGGCUCAGAUUUUCUAGGUAGUUUACCUAAGCCCCCUUCACCGCCUCCUAGGUUUCCCAAAGGUCGUUUACCUCCUCCUCCAAGGUUUUCCAAAGGCAAAAACGUAUGAUCCCUCAAUAUUUGGAUCAAAAUAUUGUUUCACAAUUUGUCACCAUAAAUGUAAUUCUGAAAUUUUCUUGCAAAAUAAAAGAGCAUCUACAACUUGUGAUGAUGGUAUGAUAUGUUGUUACAAGUUUUAAGCUAAUUUAUAAAUGUUUUUGUUUAAUAGUUGGAAAUAAAGUUUAUCUAAACCUUAUGCAUUGUCUAUGGGGUUUGAUAUGUAGUAUGUUGUAAUAUGAGUUAUGCAUAUUAAUAAAAAAAAAGUACUAACUA